rnacentral:rRNA from 1 species
UACGAAGGGGGCUAGCGUUGCUCGGAAUCACUGGGCGUAAAGCGCACGUAGGCGGAUUGCUAAGUCAGGGGUGAAAUCCUGGAGCUCAACUCCAGAACUGCCUUUGAUACUGGCGAUCUCGAGUCCGGGAGAGGUGAGUGGAACUGCGAGUGUAGAGGUGAAAUUCGUAGAUAUUCGCAAGAACACCAGUGGCGAAGGCGGCUCACUGGCCCGGUACUGACGCUGAGGUGCGAAAAGCGUG